rnacentral:rRNA from 1 species
CGAAAUUCCUUGUCAGGUAAGUUCUGACCCGCACGAAUGGCGUAACGACUUCCCCACUGUCUCGACCAGGAGCUCGGCGAAAUUGCAGUACGAGUAAAGAUGCUCGUUAAGCGCAGAAGGACGAAAAGACCCCGGGACCUUUACUAUACCUUGGUAUUGGCAUUCGGUGUGGAUUGUGUAGCAUAGGCGGGAGGCCGAGAGGCGCGGUCGCCAGAUCGCGCGGAGCCGUAAGGUGAAAUACCGCUCUGUUCGCAUUGGAUGUCUAACCUCGAACAGUCAUCCUGUUCAGGGACAGUGCCUGGCGGGUAGUUUAACUGGGGCGGUUGCCUCCCAAAGAGUAACGGAGGCGCCCAAAGGUCCGCUCAGCCCGGUUGGCAAUCGGGUGGCGAGUGCAAGUGCACAAGCGGGCUUGACUGCGAGGACGACGGUCCGAGCAGGGACGAAAGUCGGGACUAGUGAUCCGGUGCCGGUGUACGGACGCGGCAUCGCUCAACGGAUAAAAGGUACCCCGGGGAUAACAGGCUGAUCAUUCCCAAGAGUCCAUAUCGACGGGAUGGUUUGGCACCUCGAUGUCGGCUCGUCGCAUCCUGGGGCUGGAGCAGGUCCCAAGGGUUCGGCUGUUCGCCGAUUAAAGCGGCACGCGAGCUGGGUUCAGAACGUCGUGAGACAGUUUGGUCUCUAUCCUCUGCGCUCGUUGGAAUGCUGAGGAGGCCUGCCCAUAGUACGAGAGGACCUGGGUGGACGAACCUCUGGUAUGCCGGUUGUCACGCCAGUGGCACGGCCGGUUGGCUACGUUCGGAAGGGAUAACCGCUGAAAGCAUCUAAGCGGGAAGCCUGCUCCAAGAUAAGCAUUCCGUGGAACCUUCGAGUUCCUGUAGUCCCCAUGCAGAACACGUGGUCGAUAGGCCGGACGUGGAAGCCCCGCGAGGGGUGGAGCCGACCGGUACUAACGGACGAAAGGCAACACCAA